rnacentral:rRNA from 1 species
CAGAGAGGGCAAGCGUUGUCCGGAAUGACUGGGCGUAAAGCGCGCGCAGGCGGUCUUUAAGUUGGAUGUGAAAUCCCCGGGCUUAACCUGGGAACUGCAUUCGAUACUGGGAGACUAGAGGCCGAGAGAGGAAAGCGGAAUGACGAGUGUAGAGGUGAAAUUCGUAGAUAUUCGUCGGAACACCAGAGGCGAAGGCGGCUUUCUGGCUCGGACCUGACGCUCAGGCGCGAAAGCGUGGGAGCAAACAGGAUU